GAUGAAGAACGUAGCGAAAUGCGAUAAGUAAUGUGAAUUGCAGAAUUCAGUGAAUCAUCGAAUCUUUGAACGCACAUUGCGCCCUCUGGUAUUCCGGGGGGCAUGCCUGUUCGAGCGUCAUUAUAACCACUCAAGCUCUCGCUUGGUAUUGGGGUUCGCGGUUUCGCGGCCCCUAAAAUCAGUGGCGGUGCCUGUCGGCUCUACGCGUAGUAAUACUUCUCGCGAUUGAGGUCGAUAGGUCUACUUGCCAGUAACCCCCAAUUUUUACAGGUUGACCUCGGAUCAGGUAGGGAUACCCGCUGAACUUAAGCAUAUCAAUAAGCGGAGGA
rnacentral:misc_RNA from 1 species